CCUACGGGGGGCAGCAGUGAGGAAUAUUGGUCAAUGGACGCAAGUCUGAACCAGCCAUGCCGCGUGCAGGAAGACGGCUCUAUGAGUUGUAAACUGCUUUUGUACGAGGGUAAACGCAGAUACGCGUAUCUGUCUGAAAGUAUCGUACGAAUAAGGAUCGGCUAACUCCGUGCCAGAAGCCGGGGUAAUACGGAGGAUUCAAGCGUUAUCCGGAUUUGUUGGGUUUAAAGGGUGCGUAGGCGGUCGGAUAAGUUAGAGGUGAAAUCCCCGGGCUCAACUUCGGAACUGCCUCGGAUACUGGUCGGCGAGAGAGUAGUUGCGGGAGGCGGAAUGUAUUGUGUAGCGGUGAAAUGCUUAGAGAUCAUACAGAACACCGAUUGCGAAGGCAGCUUACCAAGCUACUUCUGACGUUGAGGCACGAAAGCGUGGGGAGCAAACAGGAUUAGAUACCCGGGUAGUC
rnacentral:rRNA from 1 species